UUUUUUCUUUUUCCUGUUUUAAAGCUACUCUUUGUUCUUUUAAUUCUAAUUGUUUGUAGAAUUUUUUUUCUUUUUCCUGUUUUUAAGCUACUCUUUGUUCUUCUAUUCUAAUUGUUUGUAGAAUUUUUUUUCUUUUUCCUGUUUUUAAGCUACUCUUUGUUCUUUUAAUUGUUUGUAGAAAAUUGCUGAGGCUUGUAGUUAUAGGUUGCCUUUUUUCCUGUCUUGAUCUACUCCUGUUCUUGUAUUGUUUGUAGAUGUAGAGAAUUAAGAGGCUUAAACAUUUCAACACACAUGUUUUUUUUCGCUGUUUUAAGCUACUCUUCUUAUAUUGUUUGUAGAGAAUUGUUGAGGCUUAGGCCCUGUUUAGUUUCCCACCCAAAAAUUUUUCAUCCAUCCCAUCGAAUCUUUGGACACAUGCAUGAAACAUUAAAUGUAGAUAAAAAAAUAAACUAACUACACAGUUUAGUUAAGAAUCGCGAGACGAAUCUUUUAAGCCUAGUUACUCUAUGAUUAGCCUUAAGUGCUACAGUAACCCACAUAUGCUAAUGACAGAUUAAUUAUGCUUAAUAAAUUUGUCUUGCAGUUUCCUGACGAGCUAUAUAAUUUGUUUUUUUAUUAGUUUCUAAAAACUCUUCCCGACAUCCUUCCGACACAUCCGAUGUGACACCCAAAAAAUUUUCGUUCCCAAUCUAAACAGGGCCUUAUAGAUUUCAACCACAGAAUUAAAUUAAAUAUAUUCAGACCGUACGAGUAUGGACGUUCCUUUAUGAGUCAUAUCACAUAUCAAGUGGGUCAAAUUGCACUUAUCACUUUUUAAUCGAAGUGAUAUUAUAUCGCCUGUCAUUAACAAGUGGCUGUUAUUAAGCACGUUCCACUAUUCAAUCGAAUCUUUUUUGUGCUCCAAGUUAAAACCUUGAAUUAUAUCUUAUUUGAGACUUGUGUUUGAGCUAGGCUACAAAUCUUGCCUGCUCAAAAGGGACGGCAAUUAAUGUUCUGUAUUUCUACUACAAAUUGACGCAGCUCCAGAUCUGCG
rnacentral:lncRNA from 1 species